rnacentral:rRNA from 1 species
GUCCCAGUUCGGACUGCAGUCUGCAACUCGACUGCACGAAGCUGGAAUCGCUAGUAAUCGCGAAUCAGAAUGUCGCGGUGAAUACGUUCCCGGGUCUUGUACACACCGCCCGUCACACCAUGGGAGUCGGUAACGCCCGAAGUCAGUGACCCAACCGCAAGGAGGGAGCUGCCGAAGGCGGGACUGGUAACUGGGGUGAAGUCGUAACAAGGUACC